rnacentral:rRNA from 1 species
UACGGAGGGUGCAAGCGUUAUCCGGAUUCACUGGGUUUAAAGGGUGCGUAGGCGGGUAAGUAAGUCAGUGGUGAAAUCUCCGGGCUUAACCCGGAAAGGUCAGCCGAUACUGCGGGGCUAGAGUGCAGAAGGGGCAACUGGAAUUCUCGGUGUAGCGGUGAAAUGCGUAGAUAUCGAGAGGAACACCGGUGGCGAAGGCGGCCAUCUGGACCGCAACUGACGCUGAGGCGCGAAAGCGUGGGGAGCAAACAGG